rnacentral:rRNA from 1 species
UACGGAGGGUGCGAGCGUUGUCCGGAAUCAUUGGGCGUAAAGGGCGCGUAGGUGGCCCGGUCAGUUCGUGGUGAAAGCGCGGGGCUCAACUCCGCGUCGGCCAUGAAUACUGCUGGGCUGGAGCACUGUAGAGGCAGGCGGAAUUCCGGGUGUAGCGGUGGAAUGCGUAGAGAUCCGGAAGAACACCGGUGGCGAAGGCGGCCUGCUGGGCAGUGGGGGCAACCCCUGGAAGCUGACACUGAGGCGCGACAGCGUGGGGAGCAAACAGG